CUCGCUGCAGCGCGGCUCGGGAGGGAACACCGCUGGCAAGGAGCGCCCGAUGCCAGGUUUCGGCUCUCCAGUGCCUCCUCUGUGCAGGCUCUGAAAAAAUGUCCACUCCAUUGCCCCAUAUCCCUGGAGGGAAGAACCAAAGCGACUCAAAAAUGUACUCCCACGAGAAGAAAAAUCAAGCUAUUUGGAGUCCAAAUGCAGUGCCUGAAGUUCCCAACCUGUUCCUGACCCAAACCCCAG
rnacentral:lncRNA from 1 species